CCCCACCCAGCACAUUUUCAGCAACGGAUCACGCUCAUAUAGUCAAGGCCUAUAGUAAGAAACAACAGCAAUAGCACUCCGAAAACUCUUUCAUGUCCCCCCUGUCGCCACCCAGCCUGAAGGUGACUGUUGGCCUGCUGCCUGUGUAUACAGCUUUGUGUGAAUGUCCCUCUUCCUCCUGAGAAGUGGGGUCUGUGUUUCCUGCCUGUGAACAUAUGUGGGGCUUGUGACUGCUCCAACCCAGAGGAAGUGGUGGACAUGAUACUCUGUGACCUUCCAGCCUGGGUUCCCCGCAGAUGCUUGUCCUUUCAGGACAGAUGAGGAGAGGAGCUGGGCCCACAGCCUCCACCAGCAUCACCCCCAGGUGCAGGGAAGGCUUGCAAGCAUCAAACACCCUGGGAUCAAACACAGCUGAACACCCAGUCAAACUGGCUUCCACAGAAAUGGAUGUGUUGACUCUGUGACUGAAAUGUCUACAGAAACCUUGGAUGAGCCCCAUGGGAAAGCCCCAGAGAAGGGAAGAAUCGGAUUAAGACCUGCUGUCUGCCCUGCUGACAGUGAGGUCUGGUUAGAUUUAGCUGUGACUGAAGCCCCGGAUAGCAGGGGUACGUACUGAUGCCUUGGCCCUGCCACUCUUUGCAUCUGCCCAUCUGUGGUUGUUGCAAACUAACUUCAUUGUGAAUCUCCUCCUGGGGUCAUCUCAGCGAAGAAAGUAAAUUUACACAUGCAACAAUGUCCUAGGGUUUGCCUGGUAGGAAUGAUCUGGGGAAAGGAAGAACGCAGGCUUCUGGAGGUAGUUCUCCACAAGAGCACCAGGGGACGCUGCUAACACGCAGACACCUGGGUCCUGAGUGUCCCAAGUAGAGGGUGAUAUGGGGACCUGUUUUCUAAUGAGCAUCUGGGGCACAAUUUGGGUACAAUUGGAUUAAAAUGU